rnacentral:rRNA from 1 species
GGGCCCGCACAAGCGGUGGAGUAUGUGGUUUAAUUCGAUGCAACGCGAAGAACCUUACCAGGGUUUGACAUCCUGCGAAUCUCUUGGAAACAGGAGAGUGCCUUCGGGAACGCAGUGACAGGUGGUGCAUGGCUGUCGUCAGCUCGUGUCGUGAGAUGUUGGGUUAAGUCCCGCAACGAGCGCAACCCACGUCUUUAGUUGCCAGCAUUUAGUUGGGCACUCUAGAGAGACUGCCGGUGAUAAACCGGAGGAAGGUGUGGAUGACGUCAAGUCAUCAUGCCCCUUACAUCCUGGGCUACACACGUACUACAAUGCUACGGACAAAGGGCAGCAAGUUCGCGAGGACAAGCAAAUCCCAUAAACCGUGGCUCAGUUCGGAUUGCAGGCUGCAACUCGCCUGCAUGAAGCCGGAAUC